CCAAUUGUGGGUUUCUGUGUUGCGUACCUAAGCCUUGGUAUUGUCUUGGUUGAUUACAGUUGAUUUCGUCUCGUGCCAUUUUUGUGGACUCGGAUGAACCACAAAGCGGUCUCUUUGAUCCACAACAAUAUCCUUGCGUUGAUGUUGUGGCCCAUUGAGCGUUGCUUGGUAUCCUGGAUAUGGAAAACGAUGUGGGGAUGGGGUCUCAUGGGAUCCUUGUUUUGCCCUCAUUUAGCGUUUGUGCCUCUCUUAACAUGACUUGCUGUCUUGCCUGGUUUGGCCUUGCCAUCGGGAGGGUUUGUCAAAGUUAACAAUGCUUACUGUCUUGCCUGAAACGGCUUUGCCAUAGGGAGGGUUUGUCAAAGUUAACAACGCAUACUGUCUUGCCUGAAUUGGCCUUGCCAUCCGGAGGGUUUGUCAAAGUUAACAAUGCUUACUGUUUUGCCUGUUUUGGCCUUGCCAUUGGGAGGGUUUGUCAAAGUUAACAAUGCCUACUGUUUUGCCUGAAUUGGCCUUGCCAUUGGGAGGGUUUGUCAAAGUUAACAAUGCCUACUGUCUUACCUGAUUUGGCUUUGCCAUCAGGAGGGUUUGUCUAAGUUAACAUGACCUACUGUCUUGCCUGAAUCGGCUUUGCCAUUGGGAUCAGGAGGGUUUGUCAAAGA
rnacentral:misc_RNA from 1 species